rnacentral:lncRNA from 10 species
CGGGGAUACAUGUGAACGUUUGUUACACAGGCCCAGUCCCAAGGCACUUGCGUCAGCAAGACAGCAGAAGUAGGAAGAGAGCUGGCUGGAAGAAACGGUACCCGCUGAAGACCAAAAGAGAGGCCGUCCGGGUACAGCGGUACAGCGUAGCAGUUACGUCAGACUGAGACACUUCCUGUUUAUAGGAGACUAUAAAACCCCUGCCUCGUCCUAAUUUGUUGCUGACGCCAUUUUAGGCCUCAGCCCAUCUGCACCCAGGCGCUCAUUAAAAACAGUGUGUUGCUCCACACCACCUUGUGUUGUUUGUUGGCAUGCUCUUGGGGUUCGAACCGAUACAAGAGCCUUGCAUUUACUAUGUGCAGG